rnacentral:rRNA from 1 species
CAUUAAGACGUGCCAGAGGGCGGAGUAAAAGUUAGAUCCCAAGCGUUAUCCGGAUUUAGUUGGCGUAAAUGGAGCGCAGGCGGUUAUUUAAAUCAGAUUGGAAAGCCUACGGCGCAACCGUAGAAUUGCAUCGGAAACUGGAUGACUUGAGUGCAGUAGAGGAGAGGGGAACUCCAUGUGUAGCGGUGAAAUGCGUAGAUAUAUGGAAGAACACCAGAGGCGAAGGCGGCUCUCUGGACUGUAACUGACGCUGAGGCUCGAAAGUGUGGGUAGCAAACAGGAUUAGAUACCCUAUAGUC